AAAGAAAGAAAAAUCUAGUGGUAGCUCAGAUAAUGACUCGGAUUCAGAUUCAGAUGAACCAGCAAAAUCUACUAUUCCUGCUAAGAGGCCUCUGACAACAGAGAAAAAGAGUGAACAUUCCAAGGAUGAUUCUGAUGAUAGUUCUGAUGAGAGUGACGAAGAG